CACCUUCUGUUAUGGAAAUAGAAAUGGAGGAGCUUGAUAAAUGGAUGAACAGCAUGAAUAGAAAUGCUGACAGUGAAUGUUUACCUACUUUGAAGGAAGAAAAGGAAUCAAACCACAACCCAAGUGACAAUGAAUCCUAAAACUGAAUGGUGCUAAUGUUUUCCAAGAGAAGCAGCCCCCGAGGGAUCCUGCUGGGCCUGCCAACAGAGG